GAAAGAGAAAGAGAAAGAGAAAGAAAGAAAGAGAAAGAAAGAAGGAAAGAAAGAAAGGGAGAUCCGUCUAAACCGUCGACAUUUUGGAGAAAUCUCAAGGACUCAGCAAUAUUUCAUUUUCAGGAUGGAGCUAAUGAAAGCAAUGCUUAAGUGAGCAAACGCGAGAAGGCUAGGCUAGUAUACUACUGGGGGUCAGUAAACUACUGAGGGUCAAUAUACUACUAGGGCUAGUAUACUACUGAGGGUCAGUACUCAUAUUUGCAUUUAUCAUAUACACAGAUUAAUCGCAAUGGCAAAGAGGAAACAGUGUUAAUUUGCUACCAUAUGUAAUAUGCUUGCAGCAAUGUAUCUAUAAGAUUUCUUUUUGCAACAAUGUUAAUUUGUUUUGUU